rnacentral:rRNA from 1 species
UGGAUCCAGACUUUGAUUAUGGCUCAGGAUGAACGCUAGCUACAGGCUUAACACAUGCAAGUCGAGGGGAAACGACAUCGAAAGCUUGCUUUUGAUGGGCGUCGACCGGCGCACGGGUGAGUAACGCGUAUCCAACCUGCCCAUCACUUGGGGAUAACCUUGCGAAAGUAAGACUAAUACCCAAUGACGUCUCUAGAAGACAUCUGAUAGAGAUUAAAGAUUUAUCGGUGAUGGAUGGGGAUGCGUCUGAUUAGCUUGUUGGCGGGGUAACGGCCCACCAAGGCAACGAUCAGUAGGGGUUCUGAGAGGAAGGUCCCCCACAUUGGAACUGAGACACGGUCCAAACUCCUACGGGAGGCAGCAGUGAGGAAUAUUGGUCAAUGGGCGAGAGCCUGAACCAGCCAAGUAGCGUGCAGGAUGACGGCCCUAUGGGUUGUAAACUGCUUUUAUAAGGGAAUAAAGUGAGUCUCGUGAGACUUUUUGCAUGUACCUUAUGAAUAAGGACCGGCUAAUUCCGUGCCAGCAGCCGCGGUAAUACGGAAGGUCCGGGCGUUAUCCGGAUUUAUUGGGUUUAAAGGGAGCGUAGGCCGGAGAUUAAGCGUGUUGUGAAAUGUAGACGCUCAACGUCUGCACUGCAGCGCGAACUGGUUUCCUUGAGUACGCACAAAGUGGGCGGAAUUCGUGGUGUAGCGGUGAAAUGCUUAGAUAUCACGAAGAACUCCGAUUGCGAAGGCAGCUCACUGGAGCGCAACUGACGCUGAAGCUCGAAAGUGCGGGUAUCGAACAGGAUUAGGUACCCUGGUAGUCCGCACGGUAAACGAUGGAUGCCCGCUGUUGGUCUGAAUAGGUCAGCGGCCAAGCGAAAGCAUUAAGCAUCCCACCUGGGGAGUACGCCGGCAACGGUGCAACUCAAAUGAAUUGACGGA